ACCAUAUGAAACCAAUUGGCACAGGACUUAAAAUCCUGUGGGCCUCAAGCCCGUGCGGGUUCGACUCCCGCUCCUGGUA
rnacentral:tRNA from 1 species